rnacentral:piRNA from 1 species
UUCAAGUUGGCAUGACGGACAUUGUUGAC